GGGGAUAUAGCUCAAUGGUAGAGUUCUUGCCUAGCAUUUGUGAGGAAGCCCUUAGGUUCAAACUCUAAUAUUGCCC
rnacentral:tRNA from 1 species